UACGGAGGGUGCAAGCGUUAUCCGGAUUUACUGGGUUUAAAGGGUGCGUAGGUGGGUUGGUAAGUCAGUGGUGAAAUCUUCGAGCUUAACUCGGAAACUGCCAUUGAUACUAUCAAUCUUGAAUAUCCUGGAGUAAGCGGAAUAUGUCAUGUAGCGGUGAAAUGCUUAGAUAUGACAUAGAACACCCAUUGCGAAGGCAGCUUACUACGGGUAUUAUUGACACUGAGGCACGAAAGCGUGGGGAUCAAACAGG
rnacentral:rRNA from 1 species